GAUGAACGCUGGCGGCGUGCCUAAUACAUGCAAGUCGAGCGAACAGACGAGGAGCUUGCUCCUCUGACGUUAGCGGCGGACGGGUGAGUAACACGUGGAUAACCUACCUAUAGGACUGGGAUAACUUCGGGAAACCGGAGCUAAUACCGGAUAAUAUAUUGAACCGCAUGGUUCAAUAGUGAAAGACGGUUUUGCUGUCACUUAUAGAUGGAUCCGCGCCGCAUUAGCUAGUUGGUAAGGUAACGGCUUACCAAGGCAACGAUGCGUAGCCGACCUGAGAGGGUGAUCGGCCACACUGGAACUGAGACACGGUCCAGACUCCUACGGGAGGCAGCAGUAGGGAAUCUUCCGCAAUGGGCGAAAGCCUGACGGAGCAACGCCGCGUGAGUGAUGAAGGUCUUCGGAUCGUAAAACUCUGUUAUUAGGGAAGAACAAAUGUGUAAGUAACUAUGCACGUCUUGACGGUACCUAAUCAGAAAGCCACGGCUAACUACGUG
rnacentral:rRNA from 1 species